UACGAAGGGGGCUAGCGUUGUUCGGAAUCACUGGGCGUAAAGCGCACGUAGCGGAUGUGCCAGUCAGGGGUGAAAUCCCGGAGCUCAACUUCGGAACUGCCUCUGAUACAGCACGUCUUGAGUCCGGGAGAGGUGAGUGGAAUUCCCAGUGUAGCGGUGAAAUGCGUAGAUAUUGGGAGGAACACCAGUGGCGAAGGCGG
rnacentral:rRNA from 1 species